rnacentral:rRNA from 1 species
AUACAGAGGGUGCAAGCGUUAAUCGGAAUUACUGGGCGUAAAGCGCGCGUAGGCGGCUUUGUAAGUCGGAUGUGAAAGCCCUGGGCUUAACCUGGGAAUGGCAUUCGAUACUGCAGAGCUAGAGUAUGGUAGAGGGAAGUGGAAUUUCCGGUGUAGCGGUGAAAUGCGUAGAUAUCGGAAGGAACACCAGUGGCGAAGGCGACUUCCUGGGCCAAUACUGACGCUGAGGUGCGAAAGCGUGGGGAGCAAACAGGAUUAGAAACCCCGGUAGUCC